rnacentral:RNase_P_RNA from 16 species
GAAAAUAUUCAGACGAUAGACGAUGAAAGCGAAAUAGAUGAGAGGGAAAAAAGUAAAAUAAGGUUAUUGUUUCAUGUACAACAUUGCUAGUCUUCUUUCUUUGCUUCUUCCUUCUUUUCUUCCUUCUCUUCCUUCUCUUCUUUCUCCU